UUUCCGUAGGUGAACCUGCGGAAGGAUCAUUAUUGUAUAAUCGAGGUGCGAGGGCUGUCGCUGACCCGAAAGGUCGUGCACGCCCGAGUGCCCUCACACACAUCCAUCUCACCCCUAUGUGCACCACCGCGUGGGUCCCCCUUUGGCUUGUUCGGAGGGGGGCUUACGUUUUCAUACAAACUUUGUAUGCAGUGUAGAAUGUAUUUUUUGUUUUUGCGAUCACGCAAUCAAUACAACUUUCAACAACGGAUCUCUUGGCUCUC
rnacentral:misc_RNA from 1 species